rnacentral:rRNA from 1 species
ACCACGCGCCGCCCUCCUCCUUCCCCGGCGCCGGCCGCCUCCCUCCACUACGCGCCGCUCCUCCUUCCCCGGCGCCGGCCGCCUCCCUCCACCACGCGCCGCCCUCCUUCCCCUGCGCCGGCCACCUACCUCCAUCGUGCAGAUCCACGCCAUCCCCGUACUCCUCCUUCAUCCUGCUGGGAGAUCUCGUGCGCCGCCCUCUGGCAGCCGGUGAUGCUUCCCCGCCACCACUCUGCCUCCUUCCCGAUGGGGCAACGAUGCCGCGCGUACAGGAAGUUCAUCGCCGCCAUCUCAGGCCGUUCAAUGUCGACGUCUUGGACGCGCCAUGCUCCAACGCCAUGGCUUGGGCUUCAGCAGCAAACAAUGGAGCCUACAGGGGGAGCCGCAGGGUUGAGGACGUCCUGUUCGAUAGUACAACUGCUUGCUCGGCCGCCGGUCACUCAAGGAGCUUGUCAUUGCCUACCGUGCAACCAUCAAGCGUGUGCUAAUUGUGACUGAGGUUGCACUGCCCAGCAAUACAGGCAGCAGUUUCACACUACAGGUAAAUGACAUUGCCUCUGUGAGAUAAUUAUCUUGCAAAUGAUCAGCAAGAAGAUUUACAGUUUAUUUAUGUGUUUAUUUAGCUCCACCCAAUACUGUAAAAAUGCAUGAGUCUAAUACCCUGUGGCCUAGCUGACCGAAUUAGCAUGGAAGCUUCUCCUUUCACCAUGAAAUAAAUGAUAGAUUCAACAGUUGCUAGGUAAAUCACAAAUCUAUUUACUACAUGUAUUACUACCCUACAUUCAUGUCGUCAGAAAAGUCCAUGUAUUACUACCAUGGGAGUUCAAAGAAAGGUCAUCUAUAAAAUAGUAUAACUUGUGAGCUUCUUGCAGACUAAUGACGAGUUACUAGAUAAACUUAGGCACCACACCACAGUCCAUUCACUGCCGCAUCCGAGGCUGUUCAAUGAUGCAACAACGAGGUCUGGCCUCCCCCCUUCCUAUUUUCAUGAAGCAUAUUCUGCAAAAAUAUCAGACGCUCUCAACUGAAUAAAAAGUGUGUCGCGCAAGUUCAGGUAUAACUGCUGCAGGAGUUCAAAAAUCUCAACAAACAAAGCUCAAACCAAAGUUCAAGAACUGUUUCCUUCAUAAACUAGUUUUCUUUUGGUUAAUUUGUUGUUCUGGACAUUACAGAUGUACAUUCUUCACCUAGUCGAGCAGCAAAGUUGUCGCACCAAAUCGAACUUGCUGCUGCACCAUCUCCACCAAGUCGAACUUGCAGCAGCCAGGUACCAUAGUCGCUUAACUUGAUCUCUCUGGUAGCUCAUCCGGCAAGACUGCUCAAUGGUAUGACUUCUUUGCACAAAAUCAGAUCUGGUAGUUUGUCUGAGAGACACAUUUGUUCUGUAUCGUACUGCACCUUGUGCUCCCUUCAUCCCAUCCAUGCUUAGAUGAGAUUUUUCUGUGCAAUCAGACUUGGGCUAGGGUCAAAAAAUUGGUGAUCUUAGUUCUGAAUUGCUGGGCAUGCAACUCCUCGUUUGUUAAUUGCUAAGUGAUAGUCUGAACAAUCGAUAAGGGAGCCGCUGUGCAUUACUAUUGAAACACAAGGUUGUUGCAUUUCUCAAAAAAAAGUCUAAACCAAGGGAGCCGCUGUGCACCAAUCCUCCCCGCCGUGCGGCGACCACCUCUGUCGCCCCGAGUUCCCAGCUGCAUGCAUUCAGGAGCAAGAAAAAAGAGAGAUUAAUUGUCCGUCCACACUGCCUCUCCUCCCAAGUCCACACUAGUUUUAUCACAAAAAGCAGAGGAUGUCUAUUUUAUUUCCUGAAACAAAAAUUAGGUGUUCUCAGUUCAGUACGUGAGCUAUCUCAAGUUCUUGGAAAACAUAUAAACAGUACGGUGUUUGUGCAAAAAAUUCAGACUGUUUUCUAAUUAUACAGCAGUUUACCAUAUGGUAGAAUUGUAGUUGUUCAGUAAAAAGGUUCACUACCCCAACUGGGGGAUUUUCAAUCCGUUUUGUCUUUCUUUUCCAACUGAAAGUUGUAGCAAAUGUGAACUGAAGCUGUUGUGGAGCAAAUUAGGAAUAGUUGCCUACUCUUUUGCCGCUGCUACCUUGCCACCUAGAUUAAUACUACUACUACUACUUAUCGUGUUGCUAAACCUCGUGCUCUGGACAAUUUGUGGGAAAGUCUGGAGGCACAAGUUGCUCCGCGACCGAGGAAGGCCCCGGUGCUUGCCAUGGCUGAAGACGGCCUCCAACCGCCGGGCCCAAAGCAGCCAGCCUUUGUUCGCAUGCGCGUCUCCUUCCUGCGUCACCUAGGUAUGCGCCACCACCCGCCGCGCUCGAUGCUUCCUACUCCCAUAGCCGUCCUCAGUUCAACCCCAUGGCGUCGAGAUGGUCGAGUUAGUCGCGAGCAGCAGUCCGCCGUACCUAGAAACUGGAUUUUUAUCUGCAAAAUCAGUUCACCGUACCUAGAACAACCAGUUCGAUCCAUCUCCUGAUUCUGAAAAUAUGAAUUGCGUUUACUGCCAAAAUUGAUGCUCUAUAGUUCACCAUGUAUAUAUGUCAUCAGUUCAAAAAAGACGUACAGAAAAAAGUUCAAUUGUAUGUGUUAAAACCAAGUUUGGUUUUCUACUAUAUGUCAGAUUAUUACAAAAUACAAUAAAAGAUUUUGCUCAUGUGGCUGUAAGCUCUAACCAUAUGGCAACAAAGAGAAAAAUGAGUAUGAAGUAUUGUUGUUUCCGUAUUGUUAAGUUCAGUAUGUAUUCCAUUUUCAGUACGUAAACAAACACACAGGAUCUUUAUAAGAGCAAAAACUACAAAAUGGAAAUCUGUAAGUUCAACUACAUAUAUUACAACAAUUGAAAAUACAAAAAAUUACAUCAGUUCAAUGACAGAAAAACAUGAGUUCGAAAAGUUUUUGACUCUUGAACUGAUAGCUGAAAGAUACGAUAUGUGUACUGUUGAUAAUCUCAAACAUGUGUUACUCAACUUUAGAAAACAUGUAAAAUUGUUGUGCUGCUUUGCGAUGUCUCCAGCAGUCCUACUUCUCCAUGACGACAAGGACGACAUCGCCAUGCGUGCACGCUCCAACCUGUCCCCUGUCGCAGCCCCACCACUCGUUGCCGAUGCACUCCAACCCGAGGACCACCAUGAUGGAGGUCGCCUCACAGCCUAGCGACGAGUGUUUGUUGGUUUCUCUUUCAUUUACGGACAUCUUGGGCUUGCUGGGUGCAUAAUCAAGAAGCCCAAUCAUCAUCAGGGAUGAAAAAAGGAGAGAAGCACGGGAAGAGGUACUAGUAGAAGAGGAAGAAGUAAUGUGAAAAAUGAGAUAAAUGUGAGAAUAGCAAGUAGUAAAGCAUGAGAGGGAUUCAGAUUUUGUUUUCACAUUCUUGCUGUACACGUACCUUUGGUCUGUAGAUGCACCGUAAUGGAUCUAGGAAGUAUGAAUGGUUAAUACCUCAAUGGUGCACUAUGCAUCUUUGGCAGGUUUUUAUGCAUUUUUGAAUGGUUGUGGAGCAAUUUAAUGGUGCGCUAUGCACUGAAGUAUACAUUGUUUAUAUGUUCUUGUACAUCGGCUCAUCAAGGUUGUACCAUACUGAAAUCUGGAGCAGUCUGGCAAAAAGUAUUUACAUCCUUCA